AUCUAGCAGACGAAAUAUAGAACACAACGAACUGCUACAACAACAACAACAAUCCAUAGACGCCUCAAUUCCUCAAUAGAGCAAGGAUUGAUGCCAACGUACAGGAUAUGUGUCCCGAUUUUGACCUGCGACCCCACGAUACACGUCACCAGUUUAACUGCCCAGCCAGAACCACUCGACUCAGAUCCAGAUCCCUUUGGACGCAUUCCACCUUAGUCGCAAAGUUACUCGACCUUGAUAUUGAAAAGAACAAAGCAGAUGAAAGAUAGAACACAGCAAACGGCUACAAAAAAACCCAUUGCACUUGAAGAAAUUGACCUCCCCCGGCAAACCAGAGUAGUUCUGGCUCAGUUACUAUGCGACAGAUACAGCCGCCUCAAUUCCUACAGAGCAAGGAUUGAUGCCAGGAUGCCAAGGAUUGAUGCCUGCCCAGCCAGACCCACUCAACUCAGAGCUAGAUUCCUCUGGCCGCGCCCAUUUUAGUCGCAGAGUUCCUGGAUCUGGGUACUCAACAGAAUCAAGUGGAUCAACACACUGCUACUACAACAUGAAAAACAGCCUAUAUUAAUAAGAUGUAGUUGUACCAGCGGAUAUCUUUUGUCGUCCGACCGCUGUCGUUAUUUUAAGAGACAGAUGGACGGACAUGGCUAAAUCGAGUUAUAAUGUGAAGACGAUCAAGAAGAGUAGUAGAUUAAUACCCCCAUCCUUUGGUGAUGGAUAUAAAAAUGAAAUAGGUGUUAUUCUCGAAAUGUCGAAAUGUGACGAGAGUAAAUGGCAUUGAUCCAGAAUUUCAUUUACCUGCAUGUAAAAUACCCAUCGAAAUUUGUGUUGCUAACGUAAACUCCCCAAACUCAACCAAAAAUGGUUUCGUUUGUCACGAAAUUAUCAAUGCAUGCAAAAUUGGACAAUCAUUAUGGCAAUACAAAAAGAAGGCACAGUAAACAAAUGACAUGGAUUUUCUUGCAUAAUAUAAUCUCUUAAACUUCCGCAGUCAAAAUUAAAAAUUGAUAGGACUAACGAUCCAAAUGCAUACGCUUGAAUACAAGUAGAGAUGUAUAUGAAGAAUGCGAUUUCCGAAUGUUUCCUCAUUUCUGUCGCCAAGUUGCAUUAACUCAACCAUGAAAUUAUAAAUUUGUACUAAUAUUAAAAAAGCUGAUAAAUCUUUCGACAACCUUUGGCUCUGAAUAAUGGUCGAACAAAUGCACAUAUUCGGGAGACUACAUGCAAAGGAAUUGAAUCUAUAAAAGACAGACCAUAAUUUUGAACGGUUGUAAAGUCAAGCUCAUCAUUUUGGCUGUAUAUGAUUUUAAAAUUCGACAUAAUACUAGUAUUCUUAUAAAUGUUUAGCAAAUAUGGCAAACAGUGAGUCCAUUUUAGCGAAAGUUGUUUCAAUUUAAUUUAAUUGAAUUUCAAAGUGCUUAAUUACAUUUAAUAUUUAAGCUAUGUAUAUAUGGGGAUAAAAGUAGAUCAUUGGUAGUGAAUUCGGUCUGUAA